rnacentral:rRNA from 1 species
UACGAAGGGUGCAAGCGUUACUCGGAAUUACUGGGCGUAAAGCGUGCGUAGGUGGUUCGUUAAGUCUGUCGUGAAAGCCCCGGGCUCAACCUGGGAAUGGCGAUGGAUACUGGCGGGCUAGAGUGCGGUAGAGGAGAGUGGAAUUCCCGGUGUAGCAGUGAAAUGCGUAGAGAUCGGGAGGAACAUCAGUGGCGAAAGCGACUUCCUGGACCAGUACCGACGUUCAGGCACGAAAGCGUGGGGAGCAAACAGG